rnacentral:rRNA from 1 species
UGAGUAAUGCCUAGGAAUCUGCCUGGUAGUGGGGGACAACGUCUCGAAAGGGACGCUAAUACCGCAUACGUCCUACGGGAGAAAGCNGGGGACCUUCGGGCCUUGCNCUAUCAGAUGAGCCUAGGUCGGAUUAGCUAGUUGGUGAGGUAAUGGCUCACCAAGGCGACGAUCCGUAACUGGUCUGAGAGGAUGAUCAGUCACACUGGAACUGAGACACGGUCCANACUCCUACGGGAGGCANCAGUGGGGAAUAUUGGACAAUGGGCGAAAGCCUGAUCCAGCCAUGCCGCGUGUGUGAAGAAGGUCUUCGGAUUGUAAAGCACUUUAAGUUGGGAGGAAGGGCAGUAAAUUAAUACUUUGCUGUUUUGACGUUACCGACAGAAUAAGCACCGGCUAACUCUGUGCCAGCAUCCGCGGUAAUACANAGGGUGCAAGCGUUAAUCUGAAUUACUGGGCNUAAAGCGCGCGUAGGUGGUUUGUUAANUUGGAUGUGAAAUCCCCGGGCUCAACCUGGGUAACUGCAUUCAAAACUGACAAGCUNGAGUAUGGUAGAGGGUGGUGGAAUUUCCUGUGUANCGGUGAAAUGCGUUAGAUAU